UACGAAGGGGGCUAGCGUUGCUCGGAAUCACUUGGGCGUAAAGGGUGCGUAGGCGGGUCUUUAAGUCAGGGGUGAAAUCCUGGAGCUCAACUCCAGAACUGCCUUUGAUACUGAGGAUCUUGAGUUCGGGAGAGGUGAGUGGAACUGCGAGUGUAGAGGUGAAAUUCGUAGAUAUUCGCAAGAACACCAGUGGCGAAGGCGGCUCACUGGCUCGUAACUGACGCUCAUGCACGACAGCGUGGGGAUCAAACAGG
rnacentral:rRNA from 1 species